rnacentral:rRNA from 1 species
AUUGAACGCUGGCGGCAUGCUUUACGCAUGCAAGUCGAACGGUAACAGGCCGCAAGGUGCUGACGAGUGGCGAACGGGUGAGUAAUGCAUCGGAACGUGCCCAGUCGUGGGGGAUAACUACUCGAAAGAGUAGCUAAUACCGCAUACGAUCUAUGGAUGAAAGCGGGGGACCGUAAGGCCUCGCGCGAUUGGAGCGGCCGAUGUCAGAUUAGGUAGUUGGUGGGGUAAAGGCUCACCAAGCCAACGAUCUGUAGCUGGUCUGAGAGGACGACCAGCCACACUGGGACUGAGACACGGCCCAGACUCCUACGGGAGGCAGCAGUGGGGAAUUUUGGACAAUGGGCGCAAGCCUGAUCCAGCAAUGCCACGUGCAGGAAGAAGGCCUUCGGGAUGUAAACUGCUUUUGUACGGAACGAAACGGCUCUGGUUAAUACCCGGGGCUAAUGACGGUACCGUAAGAAUAAGCACCGGCUAACUACGUG